rnacentral:tRNA from 1 species
AGUGUGUUGGCAGAGUAGUGCAACUGAUUUAGGAUCAGCAUAUGGUAAGUACCACAUACUA